GACGAACGCUGGCGGCGUGCUUAACACAUGCAAGUCGAACGGAAAGGCCCUGCUUUUGUGGGGUGCUCGAGUGGCGAACGGGUGAGUAACACGUGAGUAACCUGCCCUUGACUUUCGGAUAACUUCAGGAAACUGGGGCUAAUACCGGAUAGGAGCUCCUGCUGCAUGGUGGGGGUUGGAAAGUUUCGGCGGUUGGGGAUGGACUCGCGGCUUAUCGGCUUGUUGGUGGGGUAGUGGCUUACCAAGGCUUUGACGGGUAGCCGGCCUGAGAGGGUGACCGGCCACAUUGGGACUGAGAUACGGCCCAGACUCCUACGGGAGGCAGCAGUGGGGAAUAUUGCACAAUGGGCGGAAGCCUGAUGCAGCAACGCCGCGUGCGGGAUGACGGCCUUCGGGUUGUAAACCGCUUUCGCCUGUGACGAAGCGUGAGUGACGGUAAUGGGUAAAGAAGCACCGGCUAACUACGUG
rnacentral:rRNA from 1 species